rnacentral:rRNA from 1 species
UGGGGAAUAUUGCACAAUGGGCGCAAGCCUGAUGCAGCCAUGCCGCGUGUGUGAAGAAGGCCUUCGGGUUGUAAAGCACUUUCAGCGGGGAGGAAGGCGUUAAGGUUAAUAACCUUGGCGAUUGACGUUACCCGCAGAAGAAGCACCGGCUAACUCCGUGCCAGCAGCCGCGGUAAUACGGAGGGUGCAAGCGUUAAUCGGAAUUACUGGGCGUAAAGCGCACGCAGGCGGUCUGUCAAGUCGGAUGUGAAAUCCCCGGGUUCAACCUGGGAACUGCAUCUGAUACUGGCAAGCUUGAGUCUCGUAGAGGGGGGUAGAAUUCCAGGUGUAGCGGUGAAAUGCGUAGAGAUCUGGAGGAAUACCGGUGGCGAAGGCGGCCCCCUGGACGAAGACUGACGCUCAGGUGCGAAAGCGUGGGGAGCAAACAGG